GUCUUGCUUCAAAGCCACUAGGCAGUGCUAUCAUUCAUAGCUUAAUUGGAUUCUUCACAGAUAGGCUGGCAGAUUGGAGAGCAUUACGUGGGGCUCUUGUUGGGUGCUUAGCAUUACUGAGGAGAAAAAGUGAUGUUAGCGUAGUCUCUUCCACUGAUGCAAAAGCAGUUGCUGAGGUGUACUUAAAGACCCUACAGGUGCAGUCUUUAGGUCAGCAUGACAGGAAGCUUUGUUUUCAGCUUCUGGAAUGCGUCUUACAAUGCUAUCCCAAUGAGGUUGCUUCCUUGGAAUUAUAUUGAAGAUGGCUCGCUUGACAAAAGAUGGUAGCUCUCGAGGACAAAAGUCUCCCGUGGAGUCAGUUAGCAAGCCUCCCGCAAAGACAUUGAUUAUACCUUCUAAAGAACUUGUGCAAGUUAUAGCAAAGGAUGUUUCUGUUACAAGUGAGGGGUUUUUAGAUGAGGCUCAGUGUGAAAAACAGCAAGAACAAAUUUGGAGCUUAGAAAUGUAUGGAGUAUGACUGUAACUAGGGAAAGCUGUAGAAAUAUACAGGUCACUGAUAAUUACACUAAUUUUUAUAGUUUUAUAAUUACUGAUAUUUUCUAAA